GGGGAAUUUUGGACAAUGGGCGAAAGCCUGAUCCAGCAAUGCCGCGUGAGUGAAGAAGGCCUUCGGGUUGUAAAGCUCUUUUGUCAGGGAAGAAACGGUAGAGGCUAAUAUCCUUUGCUAAUGACGGUACCUGAAGAAUAAGCACCGGCUAACUACGUGCCAGCAGCCGCGGUAAUACGUAGGGUGCAAGCGUUAAUCGGAAUUACUGGGCGUAAAGCGUGCGCAGGCGGUUGUGCAAGACAGAUGUGAAAUCCCCGGGCUCAACCUGGGAAUUGCAUUUGUGACUGCACGGCUAGAGUGUGUCAGAGGGGGGUAGAAUUCCACGUGUAGCAGUGAAAUGCGUAGAGAUGUGGAGGAAUACCGAUGGCGAAGGCAGCCCCCUGGGAUAACACUGACGCUCAUGCACGAAAGCGUGGGGAGCAAAC
rnacentral:rRNA from 1 species